ACGGGUGAGUAACGCGUGGGCAACCUGCCCCGCACUGGGGGACGACAGCCGGAAACGGCUGCUAAUACCGCAUAUGCGCACAGCUUUGCAUGAAGCAGUGUGGAAAACUCCGGUGGUGCGGGAUGGGCCCGCGUCUGAUUAGCUGGUUGGCGGGGCAACGGCCCACCAAGGCGACGAUCAGUAGCCGGCCUGAGAGGGUGGACGGCCACAUUGGGACUGAGACAUGGCCCAGACUCCUACGGGAGGCAGCAGUGGGGGAUAUUGCACAAUGGGGGGAACCCUGAUGCAGCGACGCCGCGUGAGCGAAGAAGUACCUCGGUAUGUAAAGCUCUAUCAGCAGGGAAGAAAAUGACGGUACCUGACUAAGAAGCCCCGGCUAAAUACGUGCCAGCAGCCGCGGUAAUACGUAUGGGGCAAGCGUUAUCCGGAUUUACUGGGUGUAAAGGGAGCGCAGGCGGCCUGCCAAGUCUGGUGUGAAAACCCGGGGCCCAACCCCGGGCCUGCACUGGAAACUGGCGGGCUGGAGUGUCGGAGGGGCAGGCGGAAUUCCUAGUGUAGCGGUGAAAUGCGUAGAUAUUAGGAGGAACACCGGUGGCGAAGGCGGCCUGCUGGACGAUGACUGACGCUGAGGCUCGAAAGCGUGGGGAGCAAACAGGAUUAGAUACCCUGGUAGUCCACGCCGUAAA
rnacentral:rRNA from 1 species